rnacentral:rRNA from 1 species
CCUACGGGAGGCAGCAGUAGGGAAUUUUGCGCAAUGGGCGAAAGCCUGACGCAGCAACGCCGCGUGAUUGAUUAAGCCCUUCGGGGUGUAAAGAUCUGUCAGUGGGGACGAAACUUGACGGUACCCACAGAGGAAGCACCGGCUAACUCCGUGCCAGCAGCCGCGGUAAUACGGAGGGUGCAAGCGUUGUCCGGAAUCAUUGGGCGUAAAGAGUUCGUAGGUGGCAUAUUAAGUCUGGUGUUAAAUGCAGAAGCUCAACUUCUGUUCGGCACUGGAUACUGGUAAGCUUGAAUGCGGUAGAGGUAAAGGGAAUUCCUGGUGUAGCGGUGAAAUGCGUAGAUAUUGGGUAGAACACCGGUGGCGAAGGCGGCUAUCUGGCCAUUUACUGACGCUGAGGCUCGAAAGCAUGGGGAUCAAACAGGAUUAGAUACCCCUGUAGUC